UCUUCCCUCUGGCGGCGUGCCUAAUACAUGCAAGUCGAGCGAACAGAUGAGGAGCUUGCUCCUCUGACGUUAGCGGCGGACGGGUGAGUAACACGUGGAUAACCUACCUAUAAGACUGGGAUAACUUCGGGAAACCGGAGCUAAUACCGGAUAAUAUAUUGAACCGCAUGGUUCAAUAGUGAAAGACGGUUUUGCUGUCACUUAUAGAUGGAUCCGCGCCGCAUUAGCUAGUUGGUAAGGUAACGGCUUACCAAGGCAACGAUGCGUAGCCGACCUGAGAGGGUGAUCGGCCACACUGGAACUGAGACACGGUCCAGACUCCUACGGGAGGCAGCAGUAGGGAAUCUUCCGCAAUGGGCGAAAGCUUGACGGAGCAACGCCGCGUGAGUGAUGAAGGUCUUCGGAUCGUAAAACUCUGUUAUUAGGAAAGAACAAAUGUGUAAGUAACUAUGCACGUCUUGACGGUACCUAAUCAGAAAGCCACGGCUAACUACGUG
rnacentral:rRNA from 1 species